rnacentral:misc_RNA from 1 species
CCAAUAGCGUAUAUUAAAGUUGUUGCAGUUAAAAAGCUCGUAGUUGAAUUUCGGGAUUGACGUGAUGGUCAUGCCUUAAGGGGUAUGAACUGUUACUGUUGAUUUCUCACCUUCUGGAGAAACUUGAUGUCCUUUAUUGGGUGUCUUGCGGAUCCAGGACCUUUACCUUGAAAAAAUUAGAGUGUUUAAAGCAGGCAUUUUUGCUCGAAUACAUUAGCAUGGAAUAAUAGAAUAGGAAGGCAUGGUUCUAUUUUGUUGGUUUCUAGGAUCACCGUAAUGAUUAAUAGGGAUAGUUGGGGGCAUUAGUAUUCAAUUGUCAGAGGUGAAAUUCUUGGAUUUAUUGAAGACUAACUACUGCGAAAGCAUUUGCCAAGGAUGUUUUCAUUAAUCAAGAACGAAAGUUAGGGGAUCGAAGACGAUCAGAUACCGUCGUAGUCUUAACCAUAAACUAUGCCGACUAGGAAUCAGACGAUGUUAAUUUUUUAAUGACUCGUUUGGCACCUUACG